UACGUAGGGACCGAGCGUUGUCCGGAAUCAUUGGGCGUAAAGAGCGUGUAGGCGGCUUGCUAAGUCUUGCGUGAAAUCUCGGGGCUCAACCCCGAGCGGUCGUGGGAAACUGGCAGGCUAGAGUUCGGUAGGGGAGACUGGAAUUCCUGGUGUAGCGGUGAAAUGCGCAGAUAUCAGGAGGAACACCGGUGGCGAAGGCGGGUCUCUGGGCCGAUACUGACGCUGAGGAGCGAAAGCGUGGGGAGCGAACAGA
rnacentral:rRNA from 1 species